GAAUUGCAUGUUUUAUAAUGAUUAUACAUAUAUCCAUGAUUAACCUAUGAUUCUAAGGUGAAUUUGAUAUAGUUUGUUUAUAUGCCAUGAAAGGGAAACUAAGGGCUUAGAUGUGAUCUUCUGGGAUUGAUGAAUUACAUUAUAGAUUGCUUGAGAUUUGAGCACAUAGAUAUGAAUUUUUUAAGAGUAAAGCAUAGAGACAUUAAUUGAUCAAAAUCAAAGUAUGUGUAAUGAAUUAUGACUUGUAGGCUUUGAGGAUAAAGGUGUCUUGAGAUUAACGAAUAUAUGAUGAGUUGUAAUGAUUAGGGCUCUUAGAGUAAAAUUAAUAUGAUGAACUAAGAAUGAUAAAGCUUUUCGAGUAAAGCUUAUAUCAUGAAUGUAUAUUGUAGAUUGGAUUAUUGUGGAAGGAUUUACCCACAUGCCCUAUAUUAUGAAUGUAUGAGAUCGUGCAUGUCUUAUACAACCUAUGUAAAUGCUUUAAGAACACUUCGAGAGUAAAGUGUCAAUAAUUUUGAGAUUGAUGUUGUGUUGCUUGAAAGGAAAUUCUCAUGAACACAUAUGAACAUUAAUGUGAAAGGUUUUCUCACAUAGAAUGAUUCUAGGUUGGAAAGGCUUGCUCACCUAAAAUGAAUCAAAGAAUAUAUGAACUAUGUUAGCUUGAAGUAGAGAUGUGAUAUACCUUCAUAAAUAGCUUGACUGGGUAGACAAGACCAUGUAUGGUAGCUUGAGAUAGUAGAACUCAUGGAUAGCCUUGGAUUGAGAAAUCAUACGCUUCCAAUAUAGCUUAAACUAGCAUGAGAGGAUACUUGCAUGAUAGCUUGACUUGGUGAGGCCACACAAUUUCAUGAUAGCUUGGAUUGAGCACUAGUAUGUUUCCUUGAGUAGUUUGGACUUGCAUGAGAGUGUGCUAUCAAUGAUAUCUUGGUCUAGCAUAUUAACGUGCUUUUCCUUUAUAGCCUUGAAUUGGUAAAUCGUAACCAUUCAGUUGUGAUGACUUGUAAUAGCCUAGUACAUAAGUACUCUUCCAUGAAUAGUACUAACUAAAGUAGCAUGUGUAUGAUGAAGCAAGGUUAUUUCAAGGAAGUAUCAUAAGUAUGUUAUAUUAUGAGAUUUGCUUGUAUGAUGUAAGCUUAGCUUGGAUUAUUGCUAGAGUUGCCUUCCUUGAUAUGUUUGAAUAGAGGUGAUGACCUAUGUAAUGAGUAAAGUUGAGGUUACUUGAGAAGUGUUCCUCUUAUGAUAUGAUGUUUUAUGUGCAUUGAAUAUGCUUAUGACUUAUGUUGUUAUCUCUUAUGAUCAUGGUAUAUGUGAUUAUGGGCUGAUUUAGUUUAUGGGUAUUACUAAUUGUUAGUUUAAAUGCUGUUUAGAAGUGAGUUCAAUAAGUAAUUAUGGUUUAAUUUAAGAAUUGUAGUUGCAAAUGCAGUUCUACCCUUGUGUUUUUGGCUUGCUCGAGAGAGAGGUUUUAAAACUAAGCUUAUUGAUUGAUGGUUAGUGGGUAUUGGGUUGACAUGGGUUCAGCUCGAGAGAGUGAAUCCUAAAACCCAAUCCCACACAUUCAACUCGAGAGAGUGAAUGGACUAAUGUGUGGGCUGUUCUUUUGCUUGCUUGUAGAUGUUUGAGAGAAAUCGACUUGAUUCAGGGUAAAUUGUUUGAGAGAAAAUUUAUCUCCUCUAAAGUCUAGCUUACUCACUAAUAUUUAGCUAUUUUCUAAUAGUUUCAAUAACCCAUUUGUCUAUAUUAGCCUAUAAUCGAUUCACAUCCCAAGAACCCAUCUCAUUAUUGUUAUUUCAUUUUGUUUACCACUGUUCGUAGUUGAUAAUUAAAACCAAAACCCCCAUUUGACAUUCGUGUCAUCCCCUGAUAUGAAUAAUGUCUUUAUUCAAUAACCUUCUAUUCCUAUGACUGAUUUGAACAUAUUCAUACUUUCCUAUUGAAUCUUACACAAGUACCGCUCCUUGUGGGUUUCAACCCCAACUCACUUAGUUGGUUUUUAUACUGACUAACGAUCGUUGAUGCUUACAAUUGGAUGAAGUGUCUUUGAUAACAUUUAAUUCAAAAUGGCGCCGCUGCCAGGGAGUGGUGUUGAUUGAGAUUCAUUUGGUGAAGUUGAAUUUUGUUCUUUUUUGUCAUAGUUGAACCUACUUACUUUUCGUUUUGGUUUGUGUUUUGCUAUUUUAAAACAGAGGAAAUGAAUGUCAAUGGAAGCAAUGGUAGCCAAGUGGGCCACCAAGAUGACAUCGGCAAUCUCAAUAAUGUCAAUGAGCUGAAUGCUAAUGAACCUAAUCUUGUGGAUGGAGUUGGUGCCAUUCGCUUGCCUUUGGCAGAAGGGAAUGCGGUGUUCCACAUUAAAAGCACCAUAUUGCAGCUCUUGCAAUUUAAAGGGUUGUUUGGUGAGUUGGCUCAUGAGGAUCCCCAUGAGCAUAUAAGAAAUUUUGUUGAUGUUUGCGGGCCGUUCUCCUUCAAGAAUAUAUCCCAAGAGUCGGUCCAGUUGAGGUUGUUCCCAUUUUCUUUGAUGGGAGAAGCAUGUAAGUGGUUGGAUGAAUUGCCAAGAGACUCCAUCAUUUCGUGGGAAGAGCUUAUCACCGCAUUUCAAGUGCGAUUUUCCCUCCUUCGAAGAUGAUGACACUUCGGGACAUCAUCCAAAGCUUCAAGCGUUUGGAGGGUAAGCAAAUCCAUGAGACUUGGCUAAGAUUCAAGAAGUUGGUGCUGCAAUGCCCAACUAAUGGUCUAACCAACAAUGUUCUGCUGUAAUACUUUUACCGAAGCCUUGACUCAGUUAAUAAGGGAGUAGCUGACCAACUUUCUCUGGGAGGUUUGAUGCAACAACCUUACAUUAUAGCAGCCCAGCUCUUGGAUGGUAUGACCAAAAUUAACCGGGCAAGGUACACCCAUGAGGAUCAGGUCUCCCCUCUCACUUUUAAAUUGACAAAGGAGCAGCUUGAGAAAGACAAAGAGAGGGACCAAAACAUGGCAAAGAUCAUGACCCAACUUGAUAUUUUGUCCAAAAAUGUCAUGGGAGCUGGUGCUAGGAGUGUCAAUACUGUGGGUUUUGGGUGUGUAAACCCUGAAGACGCCAAGUUUGAAGCGCUAUAUAACGAUGAGGUGAACUUCCUAGAGAACCAAUGAGGUGGUUAUCGUGCAAACUACCCGAGGUAGGGUGGUAACCAAGGUUGGAACAUGGAUGAUGGCUGGAGAGAUCGUGAUAGAGAGUGGAGGGAUCGUAACCCCACUUGGAAGGAAAGAGAUGGGGAGAAGGAAAGGUACAUUCCUCCCCACGAGCGUCAAAAGCCCAAAGAUUCUGAGGGUGGUCGGUCUGAGGAUAUGCUCUCUCGUAUUCUCAAAAAGGUUAGGGGUCCGAUAAAAUUUUGAAAGAGAUGAAGGAAGAUGUAUCGACCCUUAGCCAGAAGGUUACCUCUCAAUCCGUCUCUAUCAAACAGUUGGAGACCCAAAUGGGUCAAAUUUCUUCUCAUUUAAACACGAGACAAUAAGGGGGUUGCCUUGUGACACUAUGGCAAACCCAAGAAUAAAGUUUGAGUGAGGACUUGCAUCGUGCCACGACAUUAACUAAGGCGCUUCUUGGGAGACAACCCAAGUUUUAUUGCUUUCUUAUGGUUUUUGUAAAUAACGUGUGUUGAUUGUGCAGGUGAAAAAGUGAAAUGUGUUUGAAAACUGCAGUUUGGCGAGCAAAAUGUCCAGUCUGCGAAUCGCUGAAGAUGUCGGCGAUCCUGACUUGGACCGUCGUUGGACUUAAGAAAUCAGAAGAUGGAGUCUGUAAAACUCGGUGGGCCUAUGGACAAGUCGGCGGAUCGUCGAACAGGUCGGCUAUACCGACUUAUUCUGCCGUUUGGACCCCCACAUUAACUGGAGGUCCUGUUAAACUCAACGAGGUAAGUACCCACUUAGCGUGUCACCGAGUGGUUCGGCAACAAAAAUUAAUGUCGCCGAAAGGGUGAGAACUGGACGGUUUUUAAAAGACCAAAGGUUUAAAAGUUCAAACUCUUUCACAUUGCCUCACUUUUUAACUUCACAAGAUCACAACCGCAAUCUAUAUUUCAUAUUUUACUGUAUUUUUUUGCUUUAUUGUCGUUGAUCAUGUGUUUGGAGUUGGAAACUUUGCCGCCUAGCAUUUCAAUUCAUAUAUUUGGCAUCAAAGGUUGGUUUUCCGAACCAAAACUCAUAAAUUAGCGGUUAAACUCAAUUGCAUUGUUAUAAAUUGUUUUGAUGUGUGCUGGACCUCUCUGAAUUCGUGUUUGUGUGCUUGUUUGCCGAUUUAAUUUCAAUAUCAUGCCUAAAAUGCCUAACUGUUAAUUUCCUGAGUUUCGUGCCUUAAAAUUGAUCAUAAAUUAUUGGGUUGUGCUUAAUUUUUGUCGAGUCUAGUGGGGUGAAGUCUAAGUAACCCUGAAUUGUGCUAAAUGACGUGCUUUGCCCAAUGAUGGAGCGUUUGACGUCAUUCUUAAGGGCUUAAGUCGGCAAAUGACCAAUUUUGGCCAACCCAGGGGAAAUUUGAGUACCCCGAUGGCAUGGGUCUUAUGGGUCUAAGUCUAAUUGAGUAUGUGUAUGUUUUGAUUUUGUUUUCGGGGGCUGCGGGGUUGAUUUUGGAAGUUGUGGUUGAAAGUAGGCACGUUGGGCAGUUUGGCGAGCUGGGUCGAGCUCGCCAAACCACUCAGUGGUUCGCUGAACCCCUUAUAUCACCUUUAAUUUCAUGGGUUUUAUCGAUUUUGGUUCUGUAACUUUAAGCGAGAAGCUUGAGUUCACCGAGUGCACUCGGCGUCUCACCGAAAGUCAUUUUUGAUCGCCCUUUCUGCGCCGCUAACCCCUAAAAUACACUAUAAAUUUCGGCGGGCUAGUCUGUGCUCAUCGAAUGCUGUCGGUGGUUUGCCGAAAAGCCCCUCCCAUCACCGACAUGCCAUUAUUCUGAGAAAUUUUGAAGCCAAUCCUUGCUUACCAAAGUGAUUCGACGACUCGCCGAUCGGUUCGGCCAGUCUGUCUGUAAUAUGAUUUAUGUGAUUUUUCUUAAAAUGUUUCUAACUUUCUACGAUGUUUUUGCAGAUAUGAAUGACUAGAACCAACUCUGACAUGCCGCCCCGUAAAAGAGCACGGGACAUAGUGAUAAAUGAUGAGGCAGUGAAUCCUCCUAAAAAGGGCAAGAUGGCACCUCCCAAGGGAGGCAAGGGAAAGGGAAAAAAGCCUAUAUCUGAGGGUCCAAAGCACAACUCCGGUAGCGAGGGAGAGUCCUUUGAAUCCCAAGAUGCAUUUUCUAAUAUGGAUGACGACCAGUCUCUACAGUCUCGGCAGGCAGAGAUUCGUGCUUGGUCUCGCCCAAAUGCGUCGAGAGUUCCAGAGGCCACCCCUCCUACAGAUGAUACAGGGCUAGCUCCGGCACUGACUAUGGUCCAGCACCACUAGUACAAUGUCCUCCUCCCCGACUACUCAAUAGAUUAAAAGCUGAGGGACUGAGGAUGAUUCUAGAAGAGAAGAUGUUGUCCACAGAGGGCCUAGAAGACAAAUAUUCUAGAGAGAGGGAGACACUCCAGUACUGUCACUUCGAGCAGUUUACCAGGCCCCGAGGCCCGUCCAUCCCUACAUAGGUUAGGGAGUUUUACUCAGCAUAUGGUUACCUGGUUCCUAAGGGAAAGAAGAAGGCCAGUACUUUCAGACCGGUAGGAUCCGUCAUGGUACGGGGGAAAGUAGUGCACUGCAGCCGUGAUCACAUCAACGUUGUACUUGAUAGAGGGUUAGUUUUUGACUACCCAAACUUGGCUACCACUUCGACACCUUUGGAUGAGCUUAAGGUCUGGUUUGCCCCCCUCAUUCUGAUACCACCCCGAGGUGGAUUGAGGAAGGAGUCCAGAUUAAGAAGAAGGACCUGAAUGUAGCUGCACGGUAUUGGUUUGGAUUGUUUAGCAGCUCCAUCAUGCCUUCACAGAAUGAGUCUAUCCUCCGUCACCCAAAGGCGGCCUUCCUUCGGUCAAUCAUAGCUCGGAAGAGCAUUGACAUGGGACUCAUCAUUGAGCAAGAGAUGGCCAUGAGGGCCAAGCAGUGCCAGUCGUCCCUUUCAUUUCCGGUCUUGAUUACAGAGUUGUGUCGGCGUACUGUAGUACCGCGUUAUUAGAAGAGGGAUAUUGAGGUCACUCUCACAUCCUUCACAGACAUCCGUCGUAUAGAGGCCGAGUACACUCGGGAAGGAGGCAGCCAUGAAGAGAGAAGCUUCAGUGGAUACAUCCCUGGAGGUGGAUAUUUAUUCUAUACCUGCAGAGGCAUCUUUGCCUACUCCGGCCUCCAGGCCUUUAGGUACUUCUACUUCCUCCCAGACUCCUAGUUUUUCUGCUGCUUCCCAGCCCACCAAGAUCACUCAGGCCAUGAUCCUGAAGAUGGGGAACUUAUCCUAUUCUGCGGAUGUGAGGGCUACCCGAUUGGAGGCUGUUGUACCGUAGAUAAUUGAAAGUGCUAUCCUUGCUGCACUAACGCCCCUCCGAGCAUCUAUUGACACUCUCAUGGUGAGAGUUGAGACUUGUGAGAGUAGACAAGGGGCAACUUCAGAGUUGAUGACUUUGAAAGUCGAGGUUGCUGAUUUACGAAAGGAUGUGGACUACUUGAAGUCCACAAACUUCACUUCACUUCUGGAGGCAGUUGAUGAUGUGGAUGCACUGGCAACUUCUGAGGUUCCCCCGGCCACCACCAGAGACGUGCCUAUGGAUGAUAUGUCAGCUGAUGAGUCGGAGGCAAACACCGACGAGGAGCAGAUAGGAGUACCAGAGGAGAUCAUUUAUGGGGACCUUCAAGACCUAGAAGAGAUGAUUGUACAGUUGAUGAUUCACAUAUCGCUGACAAAGACAUCCAUGGCAGGCCCUAGUGGAGGUAGUGUAGCAGAGGUGACACCGGACAUUGAUGCCCCGACAGAUGGAGCGACUGUGUAGACAUGACCCCUCUUUACCUCCCUCUCUGUCAUUUUUAUUGACUUUUUAGUAUUUUGUGGCAUUUGAGGACAAAUUGUUUUUAUUUGUGGUGGGGGUGAGGUAUUUCCAUACCUACCGCUUGUGAUUAUUAUUUUUGUUUAUAUAUUGGGUUUUUGUGCUGAAAAUUGUGUUUUGACACUGUUCGUAGAUGUUUGAGCUUAUGGCUCCUUGUUUUAAAUGCAAAUGGUUUUUGACCCUUCAGAAAAUUUUUGCACCCUUUGUUGUGUUUGAUUGUGGCUGUUUUUGAGAAAAUUUGAGUGUCACUUAUGAUCAAUACUGAUGACUUAAAUAGUGCUCUUAAUCGAACAAAAAUGAAAUGUGUGGCUACGAUGAGGCAAAAUGAAGUUGCAUAUAUAAUAUGUGAACUUUUUGCAUCUCGUUGUGACUAGUCGGUUAUCGAAUCAGUCUCUUGUGAUGAACAUAGCACACUAGCGAAAGUGUGGAGUCUUGUUUGAUAUUGGUGCCAAUGCCUUGUGGGAUGAGCUUACUGUGAACCUUGUGUGAUGAUACCUAGAAUUUGCCCUGUUGGUUCGGUUGACUAAGUGAUGCAAGCUCUUGAAAUGAUCUUAGGCAACAAUUUUAAAGAGUGAAAUAGUUUGACAAUAUAUAUCUUUUGUGGCCAACCUUGUGAGUGUGUGAACUUUGCUUGAAACCCUUUUUCAGCCUUAUCCUUUCCAUUUCCUUGGAAGAAAAUUGAUACAAUUGUAACCCCUUUUUAUCCAAUCACCCAUAAUCCUCAUGAAGUGUGGUUUGUUUGAAUAGCCAACUUAGGCCAAAAGCCUAAGUUGGGGGUGUGGUGAAAGGAGAAGGUAAAUCGAGAAGUGUGAAGAAGUCCCCCUUGAUCCAUGGUUUUGAAAAAGAUGGAUCCCCUCCACACAAAAAAAAAAGAGAAAAAGAAAAGA
rnacentral:lncRNA from 1 species